UACAUGGGGUGCAACCGUUGCUCGGAAUUAUUGGGCGUAAAGCGUCCGCAGGUGGCAGUUCAAGUCUGCUGUCAAAGACCGGGGCUUAACUUCGGAAAGGCAGUGGAAACUGAACAGCUAGAGUAUGGUAGGGGCAGAGGGAAUUCCCGGUGUAGCGGUGAAAUGCGUAGAGAUCGGGAAGAACAUCGGUGGCGAAAGCGCUCUACUGGACCGCAACUGACACUCAGGGACGAAAGCUAGGGGAGCGAAUGGG
rnacentral:rRNA from 1 species